rnacentral:rRNA from 1 species
GACGAACGCCGGCGGCGUGCCUAAUACAUGCAAGUAGAACGCUGAAGCUUGGUGCUUGCACCGAGCGGAUGAGUUGCGAACGGGUGAGUAACGCGUAGGUAACCUGCCUGGUAGCGGGGGAUAACUAUUGGAAACGAUAGCUAAUACCGCAUAAGAGUAGAUGUUGCAUGACAUUUGCUUAAAAGGUGCAAUUGCAUCACUACCAGAUGGACCUGCGUUGUAUUAGCUAGUUGGUGAGGUAACGGCUCACCAAGGCGACGAUACAUAGCCGACCUGAGAGGGUGAUCGGCCACACUGGGACUGAGACACGGCCCAGACUCCUACGGGAGGCAGCAGUAGGGAAUCUUCGGCAAUGGACGGAAGUCUGACCGAGCAACGCCGCGUGAGUGAAGAAGGUUUUCGGAUCGUAAAGCUCUGUUGUAAGAGAAGAAACGAGUGUGAGAAGUGGAAAG